UUUCAAGUCCAUUUGUUUAGAAAGGCCCACAGGAAUGGUCUGAGGAAGCCUUCUACCAUGAGGCACAUGUCUAAGAAGGUUGUUGCGAGGUUCCUGUCCCAAGAAAUGAUGCCAAUCUGAAGAAUUUUUCGGCAAUUAGCCGACAUUGGACCGGUGGAAUGGCUAAAUUUGGUCUUGUGCCCGACGUUAGACUUCCAACCCUUCAUUCAUUCCACCUUUCCCUCCAUUUUUCUCUUCCUUCAUAUCCUUUCUUUUCUUCGUCAUUUCCAUCUUCGUCCUUGCCAUCUUCGUCCUUGCCAUCUUCGUCCUUGCCAUCUUCGUCCUUGCCAUCUUCGUCCUUGCCAUCUUCAAGCCUUUCUAGCUACUCCUUACCAUCUUCAUCCUUUCCAUCUUUCCAUUCUUUCCUUUCUUCCCAUACUUUCCUUCCUUCACAUUCUUCCCUUUCUUCCCAUCCUUCCUUCCCUGCAACCUGAUCAGAACAGGAUCAGUUCCGUCCGAGAGUUCGUUAGAUCUCAGGGAUUCCGAGAUACCUUCACUGCAGGCUCUCGUCCGUUAUUCGGAGCGACAAAAGAAAAACCCAUCAAAUGGGUUCAUAACGGCAUCUUCGUCCUUUCCAUCUUCAGCCUUUCCAUCUUGUCCGUAUCUUAAUCCUUUCCAUCUUUCCAUUCUUCCCUUUCUUCCCAUCCUUCCUUCCCUGCAACCUGAUCAGAACAGGAUCUGUUCCGCCCGAGAGUUGGUUAGAUCUCAGGGAUUCCAGAGAUACCUUCACUGCAAGGAUAAGAUCGAGGACAAGCCUAAGGAAAUAUGGAACGUAGUUCCACCAGCAAUGGGAAAAGCUAUUGGGGAUGAAUUUGUGAAGUGCCUUCAAAAGGAACUAAUAUUGUAAUCUAAUAUUUCAGA